AUGGACGGGGAACACUCGGCUUUGAAGAAAAUGAGAUUGGAGGACGCAGAGGAUUCUGCGAUCAGUCAAGUGCCUGCCACGGCGUCGAGCAUGCAUCAGCAAUUGUUCUGGAGCCAGUGGCAGCUACUGGACUCCAUUCUCCCCACGGGUGGUUUCGCACACUCCUACGGCCUGGAAGCUGCUAUGCAAUCGCGCAUAGUGAACAACCAGGAAGACCUGAGGCUGUUCCUCAUCCAGGUGGUGGACAACAUUGGAAGCCUGCUGCUUCCAUUCGUGUUCUGCGCCAGUAGGUCUCCUGACGCUGCGGCAUGGGUCAAGCUAGAUCAGCUGCUGGACGCUACGUUGACGAAUGAGGUCGGCAGGAAGGCGUCCACGUCGCAAGGCUCGGCUCUGUUGAGGGUGGCCGCGUCUGUCUUCACUGAGAUCCAGCCGCUGCAGGAUCUCCGAAGGACAUUUCUCGGUUCCACAAGCGUGUCGUUUCACCAUGCCCCGAUAUUUGGGUUGAUAUGUGGGCUGGUUGGAUUUGACAGCGAGACAACGCAGCGCGCUUACAUGUUUGUGGCAAUGAGGGAUGUGAUCUCCGCCGCGACGAGGCUCAAUCUGAUAGGACCGCUUGCUGCUUCGGUUCUGCAGCACCAGGUUGCGCCUGAUGCCGAGAAGAUGCUGCAAAAGUGGAGGGACCGUGAUGUCUCUGAAGCAUCACAGACUGCGCCGCUGCUUGACGCGUUGCAAGGCUGCCAUGCUUACAUGUUCUCUAGGCUGUUUUGCUCCUAA
rnacentral:rRNA from 1 species